ACUUCAUCUCGCCCUGGAGUGGUAAUAACCCCUUCCCCUCAGACCUUAUUUCAGCCAGGCCUUGGCUAUCUCCCUGCGGCUGUGUCAGCAGCACGGAGCCACUCUGGACGCCCUCCCAUUUUGCCUGAGCAGAAACGUUCUGGGCUUUCCUUUCCCCUGGGAGCCUGGCUGGGGGGCUGUGGGGAGUUCCAUUGCUCUGUCUCUUCCUGCUUAGUCUCCUAGAGCUGCUAUAACAAAGCAUCACAAAGCGGGUGGCUUAAGCAACAGAUGCUUACUGUCUCAGGGUUCUGGAGGCCGGAAGUCCGAGAUCAAGAUGAGCGAACCGAGGCUCUGAGAAGUUAAGAGAAUUCUUCAGGCCGCACAUGUCUCACCCAGAAGCCCUGUGCCGAGGAAGCUGGGCUUUUCUGCCCCCACCCCCCCUUGGCGGGCAGAGGGCGAGUUGCGGGUGGUGGUGCAAACGUGGUCCAGCUCUUCUGCUCCAAACCCGAGCUUUAUCUCCCUGACCGUGCUGCCUCUUGGAGCCUUCUGGAGAGGAUCAUGCUGUGGAAAUGAGCAUCCGUCCAGACUUGGAGCCUGGGCUUCAAGGGCCUGCACGACCCUCCACCCGGCUUCCAGCCACCACCAUUCCUCAUGUCUUCCCCUCACCUGUCUCCAUGCUGCCGAGGGGACCUGCAGGCGAUUGACUUGCUUCUGUGCAUCCAGGCGGACCUUUGCCCACACCCCCAAUUCCCCUCUUCUCCCCACUUUCUUUUCCCCUGGAGUCAUUUAAAUGAAAGUAGAUGGAUCCUGGACAAUACAAGGGGUGAUUUUCUUUUACACACUUCCAUGUUUGGUCUACAAUAUUUGUCGUCGGUAUAGUCUCUUCAUUCGUUCAUUCAGUCGCUCCUUGAUCCAUCCUUUGGCAUUCACUUAUUGAGCUCCUAUUGCAUGCCAAGCAUUGUGCUAGAUCUGAAGGACUCCUGUCCUGAAUAGACAAUUGAGGAACUAGAAAUUUGUAGGGAUGGACCAAGUAUUUCUCCAGAACACACAAAUCCAGAGGACAGUCAAGGAUCAAACUGUUGAUGUGUUGAUAUGCUCAGGCCCCCGAAGAGCUGCAGGCACCCUAGUCCCCGCAAGCAUCCUUCCUCUGGUUCAAGAUGGAGUUGGCAGGGCUUGUAAUCCAUCAUCUUGCAUAUUCUGUGUGGCCUCCUCUCUUCCCGGGCACAGUGAGAUGUCCAAACUCUCCUCCAGAUCAGGUGCUGGCACUAACACGGCUGCCCCAGGAGUGCAAGGACUGCACCUUGCGGGGUGCUUCUCAUCAGCACCUUCAAGGGUCUGCU
rnacentral:lncRNA from 1 species